GAACGCUGGCGGCAGGCCUAACACAUGCAAGUCGAACGAGGUGCCAGAGCUUGCUCUGGUUACCUAGUGGCGCACGGGUGAGUAACGCGUGGGAACCUGCCCUUGGGUGGGGAACAACCGCUGGAAACGGCGGCUAAUACCGCAUACGCCCUUUGGGGGAAAGACUUCGGUCGCCCAAGGAUGGUCCCGCGUCUGAUUAGCUUGUUGGUGAGGUAACGGCUCACCAAGGCGACGAUCAGUAGCUGGUCUGAGAGGAUGAUCAGCCACACUGGGACUGAGACACGGCCCAGACUCCUACGGGAGGCAGCAGGGGGGAAUAUUGGGCAAUGGGGGCAACCCUGAUCCAGCCAUGCCGCGUGAGUGAAGAAGGCCUUCGGGUUGUAA
rnacentral:rRNA from 1 species